rnacentral:lncRNA from 1 species
AAGGGCGGGUGGAUUAGCUGCAAAAGAAUAUUUAUUAGAAAAAAAAAUCCCUUUUAUUCUUCUGUCCUUUUUGUGGAAUUAGCCAUAUAUUGCCUGGAUGAGAUAAGGGCAGCCCUUUUGUGAGCGAGGAGCAGAGGUCCGACAUCUGGGUUACUGGCAAUGCCAAGCCUGAGGAAUGUCCCGAUCAUGGCACUCAGAGUCCCUGUGAGGUCCCAGAGGACAUGUUCUGUGAGGGCACAUGCACUUUGUGUAAACUCUGAGAAGAUGUCAACUUUCCCGCCCCAACCUGGGAGCCGCUGUGCCAGACCUGCCUGGGCCUGCCUGCCUCUGAUGUACUGUGAUACAGGGGAGGUAGGUGAGGAGGCCUGGGUGCCGGCCAAGAGAGCGACUUCUGAUCUGGUCCUUCUGGUGGACCAGUGGUGGUCCAGUGGUGGUCAUCAUCUGGUAUUCAGCCCAACCUGGGCUCUUGGGGUCAUGGGAAAACCAAUGAAUCAGGAUCUCUAGACCAGGAGCUAGGGUCUCUGAGAAUGGAGGGAGAACCAUUAUCAAAGAAGAAAGUAAGAUAAAGUAUUAGAGCCACUGGGGACAUUGAAGAUGGAGACCCUUGUUUGCCCAUCACCACUAGAAUUCAAAUUCCCUUUGAUAUCCCCACCACAUAUGUCACACAUAUUUCUGGUAUAUUCUGUAUUGUGUGGUCUCCUGGAGGAGAGGCUAUGGCUUUUAGAAGAGAGUCUUUCCAAAGAGCUUUGGUGGCAUGAACAGAGAACAAGGGGUGCUAGGGUCUUGGAGAGAUGUAACUGCUCAUAUCUGGCCCUCUUUUGCUAUUUUUUCAUUUACUUUUCCUUCCCACUGACCCCUCCUUCCUGGCUUCCUGGCUUCUCUCAUCUCUCUUUGCAUGGAACACCCCUCGCCUCAUAGGUGGGCAACACUGGGCGUAACUCAGAGUAACUCAUCCUUUCUUUCCCAUCCCAACACUCUUCUCUUGACCCCCUGGUCUUGGAUGAUGGCACCAACAUUCUCUAAGUCACCCAGGAUGCACAGCCCCGGUGAGUUUGCUACUUUUCUUGCCCCGCUUUCUAUAUCCAGUCGGUUUCCAAACUGAGUAUAGUCUACCUGGGUGGUAUUGCUUCCACUCAUGCCUUUAUUUCCCUUCUUACUUGUUGCCCUGGUUUCGAUCAUUAUUUCUCAUCUAAGUUAAUGCACUAGCUACCCAGUUGGACUUCCAAUGUUUUCCUCUUUCUUCUUAAAUUUGCUUUGUACUCUGGGGCUAGAUUGCUCUUCCCAAAGGCUCUUAUCAUGAACUUGCAAUAUUAUACACUGUCACUAGCUCCCCAGUGCUAACCUGAAAAUCCUGGAACUAUUUAAGAAGGGUGACACUGGGGGUUCUCUAGUCUUCAUUUUUGGCCUUAUUCUUGUGUGUGGGGGCACUUUAAGCCCUGCAAGGGCAGGGACCUUGUGUGUUUUGUCUACCGGUGUAUCCCUGUACUCUGCACAGAGCCUACAA